rnacentral:rRNA from 1 species
UACGAAGGGGGCUAGCGUUGCUCGGAAUGACUGGGCGUAAAGGGCGCGUAGGCGGCUUGUAUAGUCGGAUGUGAAAUUCCUGGGCUUAACCUGGGGGCUGCAUACGAGACGUAUGGGCUUGAGUGCGGAAGAGGGUCGUGGAAUUCCCAGUGUAGAGGUGAAAUUCGUAGAUAUCUGCAGGAACACCCGUGGCGAAAGCGGCGCGCUGGACCACUACUGACGCUGAGGAACGAAAGCUAGGGGAGCAAACAGG